CUACGGGAGGCAGCAGUGGGGAAUAUUGGGCAGUGGAGGAAACUCUGACCCAGCGACGCCGCGUGAGGGAUGAAGGCCUUCGGGUUGUAAACCUCUUUCAGUAGGGAAGAAGCGAAAGUGACGGUACCUACAGAAGAAGCACCGGCUAACUAUGUGCCAGCAGCCGCGGUAAUACAUAGGGUGCAAGCGUUGUCCGGAAUUAUUGGGCGUAAAGAGCUCGUAGGUGGUUAGAUACGUCGGAUGUGAAAAUCAGGGGCUCAACCCCUGACCUGCAUUCGAUACGGUCUAGCUAGAGUGUGGUAGGGGAGACUGGAAUUCCUGGUGUAGCGGUGGAAUGCGCAGAUAUCAGGAGGAACACCGAUGGCGAAGGCAGGUCUCUGGGCCAUUACUGACACUGAGGAGCGAAAGCGUGGGGAGCGAACAGGAUUAGAUACCCGCGUAGUC
rnacentral:rRNA from 1 species